UUCAAGUUAAUUUCCGAUGACGUUUUGGAAAUGAUUUCGUGGUCGUGGACACGAGUACGAAGCUUAGAGGAGUGUGGAAUUAGUUCGAACGAUUUUAUUUUGAAAACUGAACGUUUUAGGGGGGUCAAAGGAGUUGACUUUUUAUACAUUGGGAAAUUGGGAAAACUUCCUUCAUGAAAGUUGUAGAGCGCGUCGAUACGAGUUCGUGGACAUAUGGAACGUAAUAUUCGGAGUUCGUAUGAAUAAGUUACGAAUAUUUGAAAAUUGGGAUUUUCUAUAAAUAUGAAAAAAAAUCCGAAUAUUGCAAAUGAGGACAGAAUUUCUGGAACUCCAGAAAUUUCUCCCCAUUUCUCUCCCGAGCCCAGCCGCGACCCCCUCCCUUCGUCACCUUCGUUCUUCCUCAUCCGGCCACCGAUUGAUGUGAAACAAAGUGGGUUUUUCUGGUCUCGACCCCCUUUACGAGUUUGUAGAAGAAAUCGAAGUGAAAUACGAGCUGUAUGAGGCUCUACAAGGUCGAGAAGAGAGCCUCGUCGGAGACGAAAUCGCUCUUCCCCACUUUUUCUGGGCUCUACUUUGUCUGGCCAUAUCUUCCUCUACAGGCCUCCGAUCGACCUGAUUCCAAAAGCAAUUUUUCUCACCGUGAAGUUUUCUACAACUUUCCAGAAGACAUCGACUUGAGAUAACCAUCGUGGUGGCCGCUAGAAGACCGAGAAGCCGCACAGCCGAGCUGGAAAUCGUCUUCCUUCGCCACCUUGGUUCUCCCAGCUCCGGCCACUAUAGCUCGAGUUCUUUGAGGGCUUUUCUAGCCCAGAGGAAGUAGAAGCUAUCCCCAAGAAGGCUUGCAGCGAUUUGAUCCGGGGUGAUCGAAUUUUGAAGAUUGGGAAACUAGGGUUCUUCGGGUUUCAAAACUUGCGAGGUGAUUGACGGUCUCCCUUGGGUGAACGAUUUCGGUGUGUAUUGUGUUGAAUUGAAGACGCAGCGGGAAUAUCGAGGUGAGUAAAUCGCACAUGGUUCAUUCACGAACCGAAAUUCGGUGAUUUUAUUUAAUUGAGAAAUUGUGGAAAUUGUUUUACUAAAAUAAAUAUUUGUUUUAAAUUAUAUGGACUUGAUCGACUACGGUCCAUAGGUAAGUAAAAUGUAUUUAAACUAUAAAAAUGAAUUUCUAGAUUUUAUUGCAUGUGAACUAUAGUUGGUAUUAGUGGUCACUCUUGUGUGGGUGACUACGUAUAUAUAUAUUUACGUGGAAUAUAUAUUGGAUGGUGUGAUUUACUGAGUUA